AAAACAUUCAUGUUCAUGAGCUUGUGAUUUGUUACCCUUGUUGGUGAACACAGAGCCAAUCUUCUGGGCGUUUCUGGGCGCUGUGUAGGCUCCCCGCAGCACUUGUGUGUGGAAUGAAGGUGCUGGAAGGUGUGGUUCUCACUGGCGAAAUCACGAUGAUUUUACGUGAGAGCUGGGGUCAUACCGUCGUUUUCUGGCGUGUGUAUAUGGGGUGCCAGUGAUUUCUCUCCCCUUGCUGUUUGAGAAGGUUCUAACAUGCGCCUGCUUCACCUCACCACGAUCCCUACCUGAUUGAAAUUCCACAGCCUCGUUCUUGGCCUGUGGGGACAGAACUGAAUCGGUGUUGCAUCACCAGGGUCGAUGCCGUGCUGCACUGGAUCGAUUUGUGUAUGCUAUAAUGACACAGAAGCUGCCGCUGUCAUGGCCAUGUUCCUGGUCCUCUGUAAAGUCUGACCUGCUUUGCUUCUGCAGUUCAUGCAUUGUGUCACUCAAAGCUCCUCUUGACUUGCUGCUGGUGCCCCCAUGCUUUCCGUUGGCCCUGUCGGUGAUGUGGACGAGGGAGCUGCUCAUGUGGUCUGCCUGAACCGAGAGGCAGAACUCGGGCCCUCCGCUUAGACAUCCCACGACCAGAAACCUCUUCCUACCCUCUCAUAUCGACUCGGCUGCUGGUGAUGAGCUCGGGUUGUAUGGUCAUCACUUCCCUGCCAUCCAAUGUGCUGUUCGUAGUGUGAAGGAGCACGCCUGGUUGCAGCAGUAACACCGACGAGCCUGUGUCAAUGAGGGCACCGACCUGUUACCGGCCUACGCUACUGUCCGCAGCGACGGCCUGGCUUCCUGGCUGUAGUAUGGUUGUCUGAGGGUUGUCUGAGGGUUGUCUGAGGGUUGUCUGACGGUUGUCUGAGGGUUGUCUGACGGUUGUCUGAGGGUUGUCUGAGGGUUGUCUGCUGCCCACCCCUCAUCCCUCUCUUCCUCAGCAGAAGUCGCUUGUAGGCUGGCUGGAGCUGGGAGUUGCACAUGCAGUCCCUGCAGCAAAGCCUUCAGGAGGUGUUCUGAUGCUAACUCCUUCUGCACAGCCUUCUCAAACGUUGGGUAUGCCUGCCGAGCCUUCACGAUCAGUUCCACCACCAACACAUUUAUACACCCUCCCUGUAGGCUCUGUCUCUCCAUCAACACCCACCUGACUGAUAUCUGCCCAGAACCUCGUAGGAAAUCUGUGGCCAACGCAGAUAGGUCAUCAUUUUGCUCCAGUGGCAAAGGCAGCAGAGGGCUUUCCCCUGCGUCGCAGUAAUGUGGUUUACCACAUGUUGUGUUACUGAAGUGCAUGUAAAUAUAACGGUCAAAUUACCGAGGGGUUUUUUGGGGGGGGUUUUUUGGUAUUAUUAUUUUUAAAUGAUCCAUGAUCAUUAAUUAAUUGUUCUUUGGUUUGUCCUUUUUCUCUUCAGAGAAAGUUCCAAUACUGACCUUUAUAGGAGUGUAAGGAUCUUUAAAUAUCUGAGGAAUCAGUUUG